UAUUGGGGCAUACGGAUCCUGGGAGGAGAAGAAGAAGAAGUGCAUGUUGUUGCUGCUAGCUACGUACUCACUCUGCCUGCGGUGGAUUGUUUUAUUCCGUGUCAAUUUAAAACUACUUCAGUAAAUGUAUUAACUUUACACCGAGCCUCUUCAUUGCCUACUGCAAAACAACUUUUUGCACCAGUUCGUCACUGAUGGCUUAUCAACGCGGCGGCAUCCUCAUCAUGGCACAGGUUCAUCAGAGUCAGGUGGUCAGCACCCAAACUAAAACCAUGGGUCAUGGUGAAGAAGGAUGAGAGACUGUUCUAUGUGCCCAGGGUUCGUCAGGAUGGUGUCUAAGAAUUACAUCCUAGCAGCACAGAACAGGAAGCCAUCGUGAAGAAGUUGCCGGAGAGGCUUCGCUUGGCCUUUGCCAGCGCCUCACUAUCAGUGAUGCUGGUCUCCUUAUCCACCGUGCCUACCCCCACAUUCCUCCCUUGAUGCAUUCAUCUCCUGACCUGUACCUGUUGUGGGCUGAGUCAGUGAUGACACACAGUAGUUGUGAUAAUAACAUACAUGUAUAUGAAAUAACUGAAAUGAUGUCCGUCCAGGCAUUUCCUUUGGUAUUUUAUUGUACACAACUCAGAACAUGUUCCCUGUCUGUCUAUAUUGAGUCUAGCCUAAAACUAAUUACUUUAGUUCUAUUGUCUCCAGCAUAUGUACGUAAUCUACGUAUCCAGUUACAUGGGUAUUUUGGUGCCUGGAUUAGACUGCAUGUAAGUAAUAAUAUGAACUCAGGUCAGGAUACCACAGUAGUUCAGAUAACCAUUCAUUAAUAUAAAAUGCACAUGUUUUGUAUAGGCCUAUGUCCAUCCCAGGAUAGACAUCCCCUCGUAUCACCUUUGUAACUAAAAUACAUUUGUACUUUGUGUCUAAAAAUAAAGUCUAUGAACAACUGAAUGAUCUGAUUAAUACAUUGAAAUGGUGUGGUGCAGACGCUGAAAUGGGGAAGUUAAUUGGAUAAACUUGGCUUGGUGUGCUGGACCUCUGUCUCUUCCAUACAUCCAAUCUCAGCCAUCAGAUCAUUGCUCUUCUCACCUGGAGAAAUAGAAAGACAUACUUAAAUGACAAUUUUUAUCCCAAACAAGUUUUUCACCGAGAAUUGGUUACUGUCCCUGUAGCAUUGUGGGGCUAAGUGUCUUGCUCAAGGGCACUUCAGCCAUGGUGGAGAUGAGGAGAGAGGUAAGGAUGGGUUUCGCACCUGCCCCAAUAUCAAGACCACCUCCCUAACCAUUAGGCCACUGGUGUCUCAUUUUGGAAGGCAGACAAUUUUGUGAAAACAUUAAGUGUUACACUUAACAUUAAUUACAAGGACAACAUGAAGGCUGGGUAGGCAUGUGCGUGUUAUGGACAAUUUGACUGCCAUUUCAUGACAACAUCCUAUGAAAAGUAAGA